rnacentral:rRNA from 1 species
UACGUAGGGUGCGAGCGUUGUCCGGAAUUACUGGGCGUAAAGAGCUCGUAGGUGGUUUGUCGCGUUGUUCGUGAAAACUCACAGCUCAACUGUGGGCGUGCGGGCGAUACGGGCAGACUAGAGUACUGCAGGGGAGACUGGAAUUCCUGGUGUAGCGGUGGAAUACGCAGAUAUCAGGAGGAACACCGGUGGCGAAGGCGGGUCUCUGGGCAGUAACUGACGCUGAGGAGCGAAAGCGUGGGGAGCGAACAGG